rfam:Clostridium fallax strain DSM 2631 genome assembly, contig: Ga0131101_107
GCUGGCAUGGCUCAAUGGCAGAGCAGCUGACUUGUAAUCAGCAGGUUGUAGGUUCGACUCCUAUUGCCAGCU